rnacentral:misc_RNA from 1 species
UUAGGCUUGGCUUGAGCUCAAUUCGAGCUUCAAUAUCUGAGCUCGAGCUUGGCUUGUCUUAAACUCAUUUGUAAUAUAAACAAGACUAGUUAAAGCUUAUCUCGUUCAAAUGUAAACUAGUUAAGUUGGAGCUUAGCUCAUUUAAAUGUAAAUGAGCUAAGCUUAGUCUAGGCUCGUUAACGAGCCAAGCUCAAACUCAUUAAGACACUAAAUUAAAAUUUGAAAUUUCAAAUACUAAAUAAUUCAUUUGGUCCUAAUAUGUAACCCACUUGGUGAUAUAAACCAAGAGAAGCGACUAUGGCAGAAAUGCGAUUCUCCUUUUAUAGAGAAGCUAGGCCCUCCCUAGUUCAUCAUUGUUUGAUGUGGGACUAGGAAUUUUAAUUUUUGUACUAUAUGUGCUAAGUGUUAGAGUUUUUAGAAAGAAAGAAGAAA